rnacentral:misc_RNA from 1 species
GAGGGAAUCACAAAAAACUUGUGGUUUGCUAUCAUUCAAUUGGUUCUUUACCAAUUUGUGAUACCUGAUGUUGUUAACACGAUGUCAGCCCUGUUCCUAAGGCUUCCAUUCUCACGCAGGAUGGAGAUGGAAGCAGAUUACAUAGGGCUGCUGCUGAUGGCUUCUGCUGGAUAUAACCCUCGUAUAGCUCCCUCAGUCUAUGAGAAGCUGGGCAAAAUUUCCGGGGAAUCAGCCUUGAGAGAUUAUCUGUCUACUCAUCCUUCUGGGAAGAAGAGAGCGCAGUUGUUGGCUCAGGCUAAAGUAAUGGAUGAAGCCCUUACAAUAUAUAGGGAAGUGCAGGCAGGAAAAGGGAUUGAGGGUUUCCUAUAGAGGAAAGGAUGAAAUGCACAGGCCAUGUGAGAGUAGGGAGCCGCCCAGUAGGAA